AUUUAUAUAGUUUAAUUAAAACCCUACAUUUUCAUUGUAGUAAUAAAAUAAAUAUUUUUAUAAAUA
rnacentral:tRNA from 2 species